UACGUAGGUGGCAAGCGUUGUCCGGAAUUAUUGGGCGUAAAGCGCGCGCAGGCGGUUCUUUAAGGCUGAUGUGAAAGCCCACGGCUCAACCGUGGAGGGUCAUUGGAAACUGGAGAACUUGAGUACAGAAGAGGAAAGCGGAAUUCCACGUGUAGCGGUGAAAUGCGUAGAGAUGUGGAGGAACACCAGUGGCGAAGUCGGCUUUCUGGUCUGUAACUGACGCUGAGGCGCGAAAGCGUGGGGAGCAAACAGG
rnacentral:rRNA from 1 species